rnacentral:misc_RNA from 1 species
UUCUUCCUCAUCGCAAUCAAGCCAUUUGAGAUUGCGGUUCCUACCAGUCCGGCGGCGAAACCAACAGUUGCAAAGAUGGUACCUUUGUACACAAAAGUACCCAGUCGAUUCAUGAGGGAAAAAGCACCGGGCUCAAACAUGUGGCUCGUUGGGCAAUUUGCGAAGAUGGCAGGGAGAGUGGUACUUGCAGCAGACGCAGUAGG